AUCCGGAAGUGCACAUUAAUACAAUGAAACACAUGCAUUAAUAACAGGAAGUGCACGUUAAUAACAGGUACUAUACGGAAGUACAUGUUAAUACAAGGAAACACAUGCAUUAAUAACAGGAAGUGCACGUUAAUAACAGGUAUUAUCCGGAAGUACAUGUUAAUACAAGGAAACACAUGCAUUAAUAACAGGAAGCGCACAUGUUAAUAACAGGUAUUAUCCAGAAGUACAUGUUAAUACAAGGAAACACAUGCAUUAAUAACAGGAAGUGCAUGUUAAUAACAGGUAUUAUCCAGAAGUGCAUGUUAAUACAAGGAAACACAUGCAUUAAUAACAGGAAGUGCACGUUAAUAACAGGUAUUAUCCGGAAGUACAUGUUAAUACAAGGAAACACAUGCAUUAAUAACAGGAAGUGCAUGUUAAUAACAGGUAUUAUCCGGAAGUACAUGUUAAUACAAGGAAACACAUGCAUUAAUAACAGGAAGCGCACAUGUUAAUAACAGGUAUUAUCCGGAAGUGCACAUGUUAAUAAGAAGAAACGCCACAUUAACAGGAU